UACAGAGGGGCAAGCGUUGUUCGGAAUUACUGGGCGUAAAGGGCGCGUAGGCGGCCUUCUAAGUCGAACGUGAAAUCCCUGGGCUCAACCCAGGAACUGCGUCCGAUACUGGGAGGCUUGAAUCCGGGAGAGGGAUGUGGAAUUCCAGGUGUAGCGGUGAAAUGCGUAGAUAUCUGGAGGAACACCGGUGGCGAAGGCGGCAUCCUGGACCGGUAUUGACGCUGAUGCGCGAAAGCCAGGGGAGCAAACGGG
rnacentral:rRNA from 1 species